GGAGCGCCGGGAAGCGGCAGAUGCAGAGUGUGACCUGCUUUUCCUCUGCCCUCCAGAGCGAGUUGCCGUCUGGGAUGCGGUGGCCGCCUACGUACGGGAGCAGCUCCUGGGGCACAAGGGGGUCUGGAUUCCCACCUUCGGCUCGUUCGACACCAUCUCCAAAGACAUCAGGACUGCGGACGGGACCGUGGCUCUGCGCUGGCCCGUCUUUCAGCUGGCCAGGAACCUCAGAGCCAUGCACCACCUCAAGUCCGACAAGGAAUCCCUGUCGGCCCACAAGGAGGUGGAGCCCCUGAAAUACAGCGAGGUGGCUGCCGCUGCCUCUGUGACCUGGCAGAGAGGGAAGAGCUGCGUCCAGAACACCGUGGCCCUCCUCUCCAGCUGCCUGAAAAGUGGGGAGAACGUUGCCUUUGUCCUGAAGGACAUAGGAGUGCUCCUCUUUCAAGGAAUGACC